AAUUCGCCCUUACUCCUACGGGAGGCAGCAGUAGGGAAUAUUGGUUAAUGUGCGAAAGCGCGAACCAGCAACGCCGCGUGUGCGAUGAAGGCCUUCGGGUCGUAAAGCACUUUUUGCAGGGACGAGGAAGGACGGUACCUGCAGAAUAAGUCUCGGCUAACUACGUGCCAGCAGCCGCGGUAAACGUAGGAGACGAGCGUUAUCCGGAUUUACUGGGCGUAAAGCGCGUGCAGGCGGCAUGGCAAGUUGGAUGUGAAAGCUCCCGGCUUAACUGGGAGAGGUCGUUCAAUACUGCCAGGCUUGAGAGUGGUAGAGGGAAGCGGAAUUCCGGGUGUAGUGGUGAAAUGCGUAGAUAUCCGGAGGAACACCAGUGGCGAAAGCGGCUUCCUGGCCCAUUUCUGACGCUCAGACGCGAAAGCUGGGGUAGCAAACGGGAUUAGAGACCCCGGUAGUCCUAGCCGUAAACGAUGUGAACUUGGCGUUGGUGGGUUCAAAUCCAUCAGUGCCGCAGCUAACGCGAUAAGUUCACCGCCUGGGGACUACGGCCGCAAGGUUAAAACUCAAAGGAAUUGACGG
rnacentral:rRNA from 1 species